rnacentral:rRNA from 1 species
GACGAACGCUGGCGGCGUGCUUAACACAUGCAAGUCGAACGGAAAGGCCCUGCUCUUGUGGGGUGCUCGAGUGGCGAACGGGUGAGUAACACGUGAGUAACCUGCCCUUGACUUUGGGAUAACUUCAGGAAACUGGGGCUAAUACCGGAUAGGAGCUCCUGCUGCACGGUGGGGGUUGGAAAGUUUCGGCGGUUGGGGAUGGACUCGCGGCUUAUCAGCUUGUUGGUGUGGUAGUGGCUUACCAAGGCUUUGACGGGUAGCCGGCCUGAGAGGGUGACCGGCCACAAUGGGACUAAGAGACGGCCCAGACUCCUACGGGAGGCAGCAGUGGGGAAUAUUGCGCAAUGGGCGGAAGCCUGAUACAGCAACGCCGCGUGCGGGAUAACGGCCUUCGGGUUGUAAACCGCUUUCGCCUGUGACGAAGCGUGAGUGACGGUAAUGGGUAAAGAAGCACCGGCUAACUACGUG